rnacentral:snRNA from 1 species
GCAUGUGAGGGUGAUCUGGCUGUGACAUCUAUCACCCCAUUAAUCACCAGGGUUGACUCAGCUGUUCUGGCUGGGUAGACCAGUGUCCCCUUCCUGCAUCAGCCCUUCAUGUGUGUCCCUCCUCAAGCUGCAAGCUCAAGCUCAUCAAAAAGGGUAUUGGAAUAGCUGCACUCCUUUGCUAGAACCUUCAAACAAGCUCUCAGGACUAGCUCUUUCUACCCCGACAAGGAAUGGGUAACAUGUGGGUGAGAACUAAUUGGGAGACUUGCUGAAGACAGGGUCACAGGACCCCAGCAUGGGCAGCGUGCUGCUAGAGUUU